AUUGAACGCUGGCGGCAGGCCUAACACAUGCAAGUCGAGCGGAUGAAGGGAGCUUGCUCCUGGAUUCCGCGGCGGACGGGUGAGUAAUGCCUAGGAAUCUGCCUGGUAGUGGGGGACAACGUUUCGAAAGGAACGCUAAUACCGCAUACGUCCUACGGGAGAAAGCAGGGGACCUUCGGGCCUUGCGCUAUCAGAUGAGCCUAGGUCGGAUUAGCUAGUUGGUGAGGUAAUGGCUCACCAAGGCGACGAUCCGUAACUGGUCUGAGAGGAUGAUCAGUCACACUGGAACUGAGACACGGUCCAGACUCCUACGGGAGGCAGCAGUGGGGAAUAUUGGACAAUGGGCGAAAGCCUGAUCCAGCCAUGCCGCGUGUGUGAAGAAGGUCUUCGGAUUGUAAAGCACUUUAAGUUGGGAGGAAGGGUUGUAGAUUAAUACUCUGCAAUUUUGACGUUACCGACAGAAUAAGCACCGGCUAACUAUGUGCCAGCCGCCGCGGUAA
rnacentral:rRNA from 1 species